CAUUAGAUGGCUGAAAGUAAGUAAUGGUCUCUUAAACCAUUUUAUAGUAAGAUAACAUUUACUUCUAAUGG
rnacentral:tRNA from 1 species